rnacentral:rRNA from 1 species
CAGCCGCCGCGGGAAUACGGAGGGUGCAAGCGUUAAUCGGAAUUACUGGGCGUAAAGCGCACGCAGGCGGUCUGACAAGUCAGAUGUGAAAUCCCCGGGCUUAACCUGGGAACUGCAUUUGAAACUGUCAGGCUGGAGUCUUGUAGAGGGGGGUAGAAUUCCAGGUGUAGCGGUGAAAUGCGUAGAGAUCUGGAGGAAUACCGGUGGCGAAGGCGGCCCCCUGGACAAAGACUGACGCUCAGGUGCGAAAGCGUGGGGAGCAAACAGGAUUAGAUACCCGUGUAGUCCCUGUCUCUUAUAA